CAAAAUUUAUUAGAAGGAGAAAUACUUAUUCAGCAUUAUUUAAGUAUACUUCUAUAUUUUAUUUUGUCUUCCAGAUAUCACAUAUUUUAUAGAACUGAUCUAAGCCAUUGAGAAGACUUAAAAGUCCCAUGGACAUGAGCUUUUGUCUUUACAUUCCUUUUCUUGCUUUUGGAACAUACAUCCAUACUGAAGGUAUGAAAAAAGAAAUAUAUGCUUGUUACCUGUCUGAGGUUGAUGCCUCUGGUUCCAGCAUAAGGGCUUUCUUUGAGUGGUUUGCCAGUAAGACUAUGUUACCUGGACUUUCCAGAUAUAGAUUUCUGUUUGGCUGAGGGAUGGAUCCUCAUGCUCUUCUUGUCUCAGAAGGUUUCCCAAUUCCAACAAAGUAGAUUAUUUGCUACUUUCUAUUUUCCCUACACAAAAUCAUCAUGGAUAUCCAAAAUUGAUGCAGACAUGUAGCUGAGCAAUUACUAUUCUUUAUCAGUAAUCAAGAUCUGACAUUAAUAAUUAGGUACAUUUAAUUUAUGCGGCUACCCUAAUAUUUAACAAAACUUUUAAAGUAUGUUCAGUAAACAAAAAGCUAAAUUAGAAAAAGAACAAUGAUGAAUUGAUAUAAUACUUCAACAAUCAAGAGUUGUACACAGAUAGUUCUGUGAAGCACCAUAGAAUAAUUGGAAUUUAAAGUGACUAAUGUAGCUAAAUAGAUACGCAUUUGAUAUUGCUUUUGAAAAGGAAAGUAAAAGUUAUGGUCUGAAAAAUAUAAUUCUGGAAUACAAGAAUACAAGAAUUUGAAUUAAAUACUUAUGUCAAUAAUUUUGCUUCUAUAAAUGAAUGUUAUGUGUGAAUGAAAAAAUAUAUAAAAGACUUCAGAUAAAAAUAAAAUAUAUAAUACCUAAUAUUAUAUUUACAAAUAAUUAAAAAUAGUUUAUUGCAUUGUAUGGUAUAAAUGAAUUUUUGUUUUAGGCAAGUUUAUUCAAAUUGAUUCUGGUCAAGUUGCUUGUUUUAUGGGACACUAAUUUAAGUAUCUCAAAGCAUUAAGUACCUUAGAAUAUUCAUUUCUGACUGGGCACGGUGGCUCAUGCCUGUAAUCCCAGCACUUUGGGAGACUGAGGCGGGCAGAUCACGAGGUCAGGAGAUCAAGACCACAGUGAAACCCUGUCUCUACUAAAAAUACAAAAAAUUAGUGGGGCGUUGUGGUGGGCACCUGUGGUCCCGGCUACUCGGGAGGCUGAGGUAGAACGGCUUGAACCCGGGAGGCGGAUCUUGUAGUGAGAGGAGAUCGUGCCACUCCACUCCAGCCUGGGCGAUAGAUAGAGACUGUCUCAAAAA
rnacentral:lncRNA from 1 species